rnacentral:rRNA from 1 species
GUAAAAAGUAGAAUAAUAGAUUUGAAAUAUUUAUUAUAUAGAUUUAAAGAGAUAAUCAUGGAGUAUAAUAAUUAAAUUUAAUAAAUUUAAUAUAACUAUUAAUAGAAUUAGGUUACUAAUAAAUUAAUAACAAUUAAUUUUAAAACCUAAAGGUAAACCUUUAUAUUAAUAAUGUUUUUUUUUUAUUAUUUUUUAUAAUAAGAAUAAUUAUUAAUAAUAAUAAACUAAGUGAACUGAAACAUCUAAGUAACUUAAGGAUAAGAAAUCAACAGAGAUAUUAUGAGUAUUGGUGAGAGAAAAUAAUAAAGGUCUAAUAAGUAUUAUGUGAAAAAAAUGUAAGAAAAUAGGAUAACAAAUUCUAAGACUAAAUACUAUUAAUAAGUAUAGUAAGUACCGUAAGGGAAAGUAUGAAAAUGAUUAUUUUAUAAGCAAUCAUGAAUAUAUUAUAUUAUAUUAAUGAUGUACCUUUUGUAUAAUGGGUCAGCAAGUAAUUAAUAUUAGUAAAACAAUAAGUUAUAAAUAAAUAGAAUAAUAUAUAUAUAUAUAAAAAUAUAUUAAAAUAUUUAAUUAAUAUUAAUUGACCCGAAAGCAAACGAUCUAACUAUGAUAAGAUGGAUAAACGAUCGAACAGGUUGAUGUUGCAAUAUCAUCUGAUUAAUUGUGGUUAGUAGUGAAAGACAAAUCUGGUUUGCAGAUAGCUGGUUUUCUAUGAAAUAUAUGUAAGUAUAGCCUUUAUAAAUAAUAAUUAUUAUAUAAUAUUAUAUUAAUAUUAUAUAAAGAAUGGUACAGCAAUUAAUAUAUAUUAGGGAACUAUUAAAGUUUUAUUAAUAAUAUUAAAUCUCGAAAUAUUUAAUUAUAUAUAAUAAAGAGUCAGAUUAUGUGCGAUAAGGUAAAUAAUCUAAAGGGAAACAGCCCAGAUUAAGAUAUAAAGUUCCUAAUAAAUAAUAAGUGAAAUAAAUAUUAAAAUAUUAUAAUAUAAUCAGUUAAUGGGUUUGACAAUAACCAUUUUUUAAUGAACAUGUAACAAUGCACUGAUUUAUAAUAAAUAAAAAAAAAUAAUAUUUAAAAUCAAAUAUAUAUAUAUUUGUUAAUAGAUAAUAUACGGAUCUUAAUAAUAAGAAUUAUUUAAUUCCUAAUAUGGAAUAUUAUAUUUUUAUAAUAAAAAUAUAAAUACUGAAUAUCUAAAUAUUAUUAUUACUUUUUUUUUUUAAUAAUAAUAAUAUGGUAAUAGAACAUUUAAUGAUAAUAUAUAUUAGUUAUUAAUUAAUAUAUGUAUUAAUUAAAUAGAGAAUGCUGACAUGAGUAACGAAAAAAAGGUAUAAACCUUUUCACCUAAAACAUAAGGUUUAACUAUAAAAGUACGGCCCCUAAUUAAAUUAAUAAGAAUAUAAAUAUAUUUAAGAUGGGAUAAUCUAUAUUAAUAAAAAUUUAUCUUAAAAUAUAUAUAUUAUUAAUAAUUAUAUUAAUAAUAUAUAUAAUUAUAUUAUAUAUUUUUUUUUAUAUAAUAUAAACUAAUAAAGAUCAGGAAAUAAUUAAUGUAUACCGUAAUGUAGACCGACUCAGGUAUGUAAGUAGAGAAUAUGAAGGUGAAUUAGAUAAUUAAAGGGAAGGAACUCGGCAAAGAUAGCUCAUAAGUUAGUCAAUAAAGAGUAAUAAGAACAAAGUUGUACAACUGUUUACUAAAAACACCGCACUUUGCAGAAACGAUAAGUUUAAGUAUAAGGUGUGAACUCUGCUCCAUGCUUAAUAUAUAAAUAAAAUUAUUUAACGAUAAUUUAAUUAAAUUUAGGUAAAUAGCAGCCUUAUUAUGAGGGUUAUAAUGUAGCGAAAUUCCUUGGCCUAUAAUUGAGGUCCCGCAUGAAUGACGUAAUGAUACAACAACUGUCUCCCCUUUAAGCUAAGUGAAAUUGAAAUCGUAGUGAAGAUGCUAUGUACCUUCAGCAAGACGGAAAGACCCUAUGCAGCUUUACUGUAAUUAGAUAGAUCGAAUUAUUGUUUAUUAUAUUCAGCAUAUUAAGUAAUCCUAUUAUUAGGUAAUCGUUUAGAUAUUAAUGAGAUACUUAUUAUAAUAUAAUGAUAAUUCUAAUCUUAUAAAUAAUUAUUAUUAUUAUUAUUAAUAAUAAUAAUAAUAUGCUUUCAAGCAUAGUGAUAAAACAUAUUUAUAUGAUAAUCACUUUACUUAAUAGAUAUAAUUCUUAAGUAAUAUAUAAUAUAUAUUAUAUAUAUAUUAUAUAUAAUAUAAGAGACAAUCUCUAAUUGGUAGUUUUGAUGGGGCGUCAUUAUCAGCAAAAGUAUCUGAAUAAGUCCAUAAAUAAAUAUAUAAAAUUAUUGAAUAAAAAAUAAUAUAUAUUAUAUAUAUUAAUUAUAAAUUGAAAUAUGUUUAUAUAAAUUUAUAUUUAUUGAAUAUAUUUUAGUAAUAGAUAAAAAUAUGUACAGUAAAAUUGUAAGGAAAACAAUAAUAACUUUCUAAAAAAUAAUUAUGGAAAGAAUUAAAUUAAUAUAAUGGUAUAACUGUGCGAUAAUUGUAACACAAACGAGUGAAACAAGUACGUAAGUAUGGCAUAAUGAACAAAUAACACUGAUUGUAAAGGUUAUUGAUAACGAAUAAAAGUUACGCUAGGGAUAACAGGGUAAUAUAACGAAAGAGUAGAUAUUGUAAGUUAUGUUUGCCACCUCGAUGUCGACUCAACAUUUCCUCUUGGUUGUAAAAGCUAAGAAGGGUUUGACUGUUCGUCAAUUAAAAUGUUACGUGAGUUGGGUUAAAUACGAUGUGAAUCAGUAUGGUUCCUAUCUGCUGAAGGAAAUAUUAUCAAAUUAAAUCUCAUUAUUAGUACGCAAGGACCAUAAUGAAUCAACCCAUGGUGUAUCUAUUGAUAAUAAUAUAAUAUAUUUAAUAAAAAUAAUACUUUAUUAAUAUAUUAUCUAUAUUAGUUUAUAUUUUAAUUAUAUAUUAUCAUAGUAGAUAAGCUAAGUUGAUAAUAAAUAAAUAUUGAAUACAUAUUAAAUAUGAAGUUGUUUUAAUAAGAUAAUUAAUCUGAUAAUUUUAUACUAAAAUUAAUAAUUAUAGGUUUUAUAUAUUAUUUAUAAAUAAAUAUAUUAUAAUAAUAAUAAUUAUUAUUAUUAAUAAAAAAUAUUAAUUAUAAUAUUAAUAAAAUACUAAUUUAUCAGUUAUCUAUAUAAUAUCUAAUCUAUUAUUCUAUAUACU